rnacentral:rRNA from 1 species
AUUGAACGCUGGCGGCAGGCCUAACACAUGCAAGUCGAGCGGAUGAAGGGAGCUUGCUCCUGGAUUCAGCGGCGGACGGGUGAGUAAUGACUAGGAAUCUGCCUGGUAGUGGGGGCUAACGUCCGGAAACGGGCGCUGAUACCGCAUACGUCCUGAGGGAGAAAGUGGGGGAUCUUCGGACCUCACGCUAUCAGAUGAGCCUAGGUCGGAUUAGCUAGUUGGUGGGGUAAAGGCCUACCAAGGCGACGAUCCGUAACUGGUCUGAGAGGCUGAUCAGUCACACUGGAACUGAGACACGGUCCAGACUCCUACGGGAGGCAGCAGUGGGGAAUAUUGGACAAUGGGCGAAAGCCUGAUCCAGCCAUGCCGCGUGUGUGAAGAAGGUCUUCGGAUUGUAAAGCACUUUAAGUUGGGAGGAAGGGCAGUAAGUGAAUACCUUGCUGUCUUGACGUUACCAACAGAAUAAGCACCGGCUAACUUCGUG